rnacentral:rRNA from 1 species
UACGUAGGGUGCGAGCGUUGUCCGGAAUUAUUGGGCGUAAAGAGCUCGUAGGCGGUUUGUCGCGUCGGCCGUGAAAACUUGGGGCUUAACCCCAAGCUUGCGGUCGAUACGGGCAGACUUGAGUUCGGCAGGGGAGACUGGAAUUCCUGGUGUAGCGGUGAAAUGCGUAGAUAUCUGGAGGAACACCGGUGGCGAAGGCGGCGUUCUGGACUGCAACUGACACUGAGGAACGAAAGCCAGGGGAGCAAACGGG